AGAACGAAGUUCGCAUGGACUAUGAGAACACUCCAUCACACAGCUUCUAGAUACAGCGAGCCGUGAGAGAGCUUCUCGCACAAGAUCAUGUCUCCGGGAAAUUUCACCAUCUCUCUGCUCCGCGCUUGUUUACAUUCAGUUCCGAAGUUUAGACCGCUGACGGUCAGUCGGGUGAGGAGAGACAGCUCUGACUGAGUGAGCUCCACCGCUCUGAGGAAAUCGAUCCAACAUGAGGCCCACGGACAAAACAUGGAAGAUCGAAUCGAAGCGAAACUUCGUCCGAUAUUGGUUCAACAAACACCCGGAUCUCUUCGUUCUGGGCUGCCUUACUUCGAUCGCUGUCGUGACCGGUUUUUGGUCGAUAGAUCAUUUCCAGAAAACCGCCCCUUUCGAAUACAGAUAUCAAUACGUUGUGUGGCGGGAUGACGAUCCUCGCGCGGUGAAAAUGAUGUCGAGGAUGCACAACUUCAGACCUCUUCGACGGAUCGAUUAGACAAGUAAUUCAUUCCCGUUUCGGAAGUCUUCAUCCAAUGGAUAGAAUGAUAAGAAU